rnacentral:sRNA from 1 species
GCCAGGCAAAGUGGUGCACGCCUGUAAUCCCAGCUUCUUUGGGAGGCUGAGGCAGGAGGAUCAUGAGUUCAAGGCCAGCCUUAGCAAUUUAGAGAAGCCCUAAGCAACUCAGUGAGAACCCUGUCUCUA